CGCUGUCUCGUGGGCUCGGAGAUGUGUAUAAGAGACAGGUACAGCACUGGAUGGGCUAGGGGCCGCAAGGUUACCAAACCCAACCAAACUCGGAAUGCGCCGACAGGCAGCGCGGCAGUCGGACGGCGGGAGAUGAGUUUCGUCGUCGAAAGGGAAACAGCCCAGACCCGCAGCUAAGGUCCUGAAGACCGGCUCAGUGGCAAACGAGGUGGGCGUGUUGAGACAGCCAGGAGGUUGGCUUAGAAGCAGCCAUCCUUCAAAGAGUGCGUAAUAGCUCACUGGUCAAGUGAUCCUGCGCGGAAAACUUAACGGGGCUAAGCUUGAUACCGAAGCCAUGGACUUCAUCCUAGAGAUGGAGUGGUAGGGGAGCGUUCUGUCGUCGGAGAAGCACUACCGUAAGGAGGUGUGGAGAUGACAGAAGUGAGAAUGCAGGCAUGAGUAGCGAAAAACACGUGAGAACCGUGUUCGCCGAAAAUCUAAGGUUUCCGACGCCAGGUCAGUCCGCGUCGGGUUAGUCAGGGCCUUAGCCGAGGCCGAAAGGCGUAGGUGAUGGACAUCCGGUCAACAAUCCGGAACCGCUGGACGGGAGUGAAGCGGGGACGCAGCAAGGUAAGCCAGCCCACGAAUGGUGGUGUGGGUGUCUGUGGUGGCAGGUGCUGAGGGCGGUAGGCAAAUCCGUCGCCCGAGCCGAGACCAUGGAGCGAGCCUAUAAGGUGGAAGUGAGCCGAACCUAGCUGCCGAGAAAAGCCGCGUAGCGAUGAACGUUUAGCGCCUGUACCGCAAACCGACACAGGUAGAUGAGUGGAGAACACUCAGGCGAACGGGGAAACCUUCGUCAAGGAAUUAGGCAAAUUAGCCCCGUAACUUCGGGAUAAGGGGUGCCCCUCAGGUGAGUAGAAAUACGUAGCCGAGGGGGGUCGCAGCAAAGCGGCUCUAGUGACUGGUUAACAAAACCACAGGUCUCUGCGAAGUCGAAAGACGACGUAUAGGGGCUGACGCCUGCCCAGUGCCGGAAGGUUAAAGGGAGAGGUUCGGGGG
rnacentral:rRNA from 1 species